CGUAGCAACCGGCGUCGACUCACCCUCCGGCGGCCCCCGCCCGGGCGCUGAGGUCUCGGUCGCCAGGGACACGGCGGGGCGGGGCAGUGGCUGUCCUCGCCGCCCCUCGCCUGCCGGGCCGCGCCCUCGGCCCCUCCCCGGAGCUGUGCCCACCCUCCGACCCCCGGAGGAAGGGGACAGACCCCGGCGGAGGACACGGCGCCGCCUGGCCUCGGGCCGCCCGCGAGGGCCCCGCGUGGCCCGAGCGCGACCCUCAGCCAGCCGGCGUUUCUCUCCCGGAGAGAGGCCUUUGUUUGCCGUCUGACUGCCCCAGUUUUCUGUUCCAGUCUCCCUUCCCACCAGGCCCCAACCUGGGCUCCGGUUCGGGCGACGAGGAGCAGGUGGCGGUCCGGGGCGGUGUCGUUCCCCUCCCCUCCGGUCGCCCAGGAAAUCUCUCCCUCGCUUGGCCACCUGCCUUAGGGGAGGAGACACUGGGCUCUGCUCACGCCACGCUGCUCCCGUCCCUGGUUCGCUCCCCGACUCCCGUGCCUUCCUCUGACGUCUGGGUGACAGUCGCCUGCUUACCCUGGCUGCAGACUGACCAGGCAGCCGCUGGCAGACGGUGAAGGGCUGAACCCCAAAGCCCGGGGACCAGGCAGGGGCUAGCGGUAAUCUGCCGCCAUGCCCCGCCGGCUCUGCCUCAACGGACCCAUUUUUGGCCGAGGGCAAUCCUAACUACCUCCUCUUGCUAGAGGGCCUCACUCAUCUUGUUCAGGUUCAGACGUGGGGAAGGCCGUCUGUGGGAGGUGUUUUUCCUCACCCCAAGCGGCAUUUUGACAAGGACUAAUAAAAUGCAGGUGGUCCGAAGCAAAA